UACGUAGGGGGCGAGCGUUGUCCGGAUUCAUUGGGCGUAAAGAGCUCGUAGGCGGUUCAGUAAGUCGGGUGUGAAAGCCCCGGGCUCAACCUGGGAAUUGCAUUCGAGACUGCUCUGCUAGGGUGCGGAAGAGGGAAGCGGAAUUUCCGGUGUAGCGGUGAAAUGCGUAGAUAUCGGAAGGAACACCAGUGGCGAAAGCGGCUUCCUGGUCCAGCACCGACGUUCAGGCACGAAAGCGUGGGGAGCAAACAGG
rnacentral:rRNA from 1 species